CUUUCUUCUCACAAACACACACAAAAAGAAGAGAGAAAAAAAACCAGAGGAGAGAGAGAGAAGAAGAAUUUGUUUUUUGAAAAAACAAUGGCCGCCUAUAUUUCAGAAUCUGAUUCCCAAGAAAAACAAUUAAUCACCACCCAAACAACCCCUACCUCCGAACAACAACGAUAUGAAGAAGAAGAGGUGAUUGUUUAUAAGCCAAAGCCCAAAACCAGGAAACCCAAAAAGAGGGUCCCACAAGUAUGUUUAGAAGGGUAUGUAGAAGACGAUGAUUUGCCCAGAACAAAGAGCUUAACGGAUGAUGAUCUUGAUGAGUUAAAGGGUUGUUUGGAUUUAGGGUUUGGGUUUAGUUAUGAUGAAAUCCCUGAACUUUGUAAUACUUUGCCUGCUUUGGAGCUUUGUUAUUCUAUGUCUCAGAAGUUUCUAGAUGACCAUCCUAAUCAACAACAUCACCUCCACCAGGGAGGUGGUUCCGGUGGUGUUUCUUCUGAUACGGCUUCGUUUUCCGGUUCCGAAAGUUCCAGUCCCAUGCCUACCUGGAAGAUCUCUAGUCCUGGUGACCAUCCUGAAGAUGUCAAAGCGAGGCUUAAGUUUUGGGCUCAGACCGUGGCUUGUACUGUCAAGUUAUGCAGCUAGAUUGCAAUGGCGUCGACUGAUUUGAUCAGUCAAGGAUGAAGGAUGUCUUAUUUUCCCUAAAAGAUGAAUAUUCUCAACUUUCGUGAUCAAAAUGGAUCUUUGAAUGGGAAGAUGAGCAUGCCAGGACCGCCAAACUUUAGAACUUUGCGACUGAAUUUUUGAACAAGAUGGAUUCAGAACCAUUUGAGAAGAGGGCCGUGUCAGGUCUGAGAUGAUUCAACUAACCGAUGAUGUGUAUGCCAUUGCAGCUGUUCUUAGAGACCUCUGCAUUGCUGAGGUAACUCCUUCUAUUGGACAAUCAGUCUGAUAAUCAGUCUUGGUUUAUUGCCAAUCCUUUUGAUUAUCUCUGUCUGGUGAAUGGUUAUCUGAUGUGAUGAUGAAUGCCAAUACGGAUCCAAUCUAACAUGAAAAUCACUAUUGUCAUUUGCAAGUUGGUUUUUCGACAAUGGCAAAACUACGUGCUUACUUUGUUUAUACGACUGAUUACUAACUUGUUCUUACGUUUGAAGAUGAGCACUCUUGAUGAUUCUUUUGUCGGUCUACUGCAACUUGCUUUCGAAGUUUGGCAUUCUAGCGGAGGUGUCUUUGUCCAUCUCCCAAACUCAUAUCCGUGGCGUGGUUUGCCUUGUCAUACUUGUUCCAUCUAAAAUUCUUGUCCACAUAACUUGGUUGGUGAAUUGGAGAUAUUUUCUCAAGUUGUUCUUUGUAUGUGUUCUUGCAGAAGUUUGGUACACUAACAUGAAGUGGCUGUUCUAGCCGGGUGAUGGAGACCCGGAAUGCCUAAUUGCUGGUUGGUUCCUUACUUGUCUUAUAGCUUAAAAUAGUUUGAAAUCGAGCCAAUUAGUAGUUCUCUGUACUUCUGUAGUAGCUAACAUAUCCCCAAUACUCAGAUGUGGUUGCAACCUGAGUUUGUUCUGUUCAUGUCAUAUUUUAGCUAUAUAACUGCUUCAUGGUUAAUUUUGUGUCUAUUAGAAUGAUCAGUAGGACACUUGCCUAACUCUGAGUCCCAUCUUACUUCGAAUCUCAUAAGAGUAUAAGACUCAGACUAACCCGAAGUGAUCUGAUAGUACUAACCUAGCUGAUGCGGUAUUAAUCUGCCUUUGUACUAACAAAUGACACCAUAAACCCGUGACCUUGAAGUUACGAGUUUUAUGUUGAUGGAUGCGGCGAAACUAGAAGAGAAGGAACAUGAGACGAGCCAUAGUGAGACAGAAGACCGGGAUCUGGAUUGGUUUGAGUUAAGCUGCUGUCAGCAUUUUUCGCUGAAAUCCAGCUUGUGUGGAUCUUGAAGCUUUGUUUGCGGGAGAGUUGAUUAAGAGAUACGGCUACAGGCUGCAGCUGACAGAUUCUUACUUGAAAUAGAUUCGUAUUAAACUUAGAUUUUGGGCUUUUGACUCUAGUAAACUUGCGAAUCCCGUCUCUGACUUAUUGAUAUCAGAAUAUUUUGGUUAGAUUGACAAAUCUGAAUCGUAAGUAUAAGAAUUAAUCAUUUGAUGUUUAGUUGGCCAGAUUAAUCUGGCAAGUGGUGUUGAUUAAUCUUAAGUUGUUGGCAUAUUCUUUGGUAUUAUGGUAUAAUAUCACCUAACUGAUUUCAUUUCA